rnacentral:rRNA from 1 species
UACGUAGGGUCCGAGCGUUGUCCGGAAUUACUGGGCGUAAAGCGCGCGCAGGCGGUCCGCGAGGUGUCACGUGAAAGCCCCGGGCUCAACUCGGGAGGGUCGUGGCAAACCGGCGGACUUGAGGCCGGUAGAGGUGGGUGGAACUCCUGGUGGAGUGGUGAAAUGCGUAGAGAUCAGGAAGAACACCCGUGGCGAAGGCGGCCCACUGGGCCGGAACUGACGCUGAGGCGCGAAGGCGUGGGGAGCGAACGGG